GAAGAAGUUUGACAAGUAAAUUGAUUCAAAUGUGAUGAUUGGGUCAAAAGGCCUCGAUGAGGGUGUUGAUCUAUGAAUGUCUUACAUCAGUGCUCCCUAAAAGAACUAGAGGGCAGGGUUUGAUCAGCUGGGGCCAUUUGAACGCGAAGGGCAGCCAUAAAUUCAAAAACAACUUUCAUUGUAGCUUGGGAUAGACAAAUUUGGUAUAUACUUUUUUUAGGUCACAUGUGAAAUAAUGUCUCCAAACUCAGUUUUAUCAUAUUUGUAAAUGAGGGCUUGGCUUUGUAUAUGGCUGUCAUUUUGCAGGCUUGUAU